AUGAAAAUCAUCAGUUGGAACUGCCGGGGCCUCGGGAAUGGCCCGGCAGUUCGGUCUCUUCUCGAACUGGGAAGAGUGGAGGAUCCCGAUGUUCUUUUCUUAUGUGAGACAAGGAUGAAGGAGAAGCAUUUGGGGAGGUUUCAGUGGUCGUUGGGGCUCGCCAACAUGUUAGCGUGGAAGGAUGAGAGCAGUGGAAGGGGAAUAGCUUUGUUCUGGCGAAGAGGAUUGGAC
rnacentral:rRNA from 1 species